rnacentral:lncRNA from 1 species
UUGGGCUGCUUAGCUUUCAGAGGGAUGUGCUGCUGAUGUCUGUCCUUUUUAAAGAAGAGCUAGAGCUGAAACCUUCCUGGGAACUGGAAGAUGGAAACACAGCGGUGAGCCUGGAGCAGGGCGACGCCAGCCUGGAGGCCCUCUCUUCCUGCCCACAACCUCACCUCCUCACAUCUACACUGCACACUUGCACUGGCCUUCUUUCUGCUUCUUGGGACCACAGACUGAGAAGGGACCCCCAGUCCUGCUAGCUCCU